rnacentral:tRNA from 1 species
AGUGGUGGAAUGGUAGACACGGGUGAUUCAAAAUCAUCUGCAUUAAGCGUGGAGGUUCAAAUCCUCUCUA